rnacentral:rRNA from 1 species
AACACAUGCAAGUCGAGGGGCAGCGAGUCUAGCUUGCUAGAUGUCGGCGACCGGCGCACGGGUGCGCACCGCGUAUGGAACCUACCUUGUACAGGGGAAUAGCCCAGGGAAACUUGGAUUAAUGCCCCGUGGUACUGUUGAUCGGCAUCGAUCGGCAGUUAAAGCCUUCGGGCGGUACAAGAUGGCCAUGCGUCCCAUUAGCUUGUUGGUAAGGUAACGGCUUACCAAGGCUACGAUGGGUAGGGGCCCUGAGAGGGGGAUCCCCCACACUGGUACUGAGACACGGACCAGACUCCUACGGGAGGCAGCAGUGAGGAAUAUUGGACAAUGGAGGAGACUCUGAUCCAGCCAUGCCGCGUGCAGGAAGAAUGCCCUAUGGGUAGUAAACUGCUUUUAUACGGGAAGAAAAAGAGCUACGUGUAGCUUACUGACGGUACCGUAAGAAUAAGGACCGGCUAACUCCGUGCCAGCAGCCGCGGUAAUACGGAGGGUCCGAGCGUUAUCCGGAAUUAUUGGGUUUAAAGGGUCCGUAGGCGGGCCGAUAAGUCAGGGGUGAAAGUUUGCAGCUCAACUGUAAAAUUGCCUUUGAUACUGUUGGUCUUGAGUUAUAGUGAAGUUGCCGGAAUAUGUAAGUGAGCGGUGAAAAUCAUAGAUAUUACAUUAGAACACCGAUUGCGAAGG